GGUUCCAUUGCCGUUGAGUAGA
rnacentral:miRNA from 1 species